rnacentral:miRNA from 1 species
UUGGGAGGGAAGACAGCUGGAGA